rnacentral:rRNA from 1 species
CGGGGGGCAGCAGUGGGGAAUAUUGGACAAUGGGGGCAACCCUGAUCCAGCAAUGCCGCGUGUGUGAAGAAGGCCUGAGGGUUGUAAAGCACUUUCAGUGGGGAGGAGGGUAUGUAGGUUAAGAGCUAGCAUACUGGACGUUACCCACAGAAGAAGCACCGGCUAACUCCGUGCCAGCAGCCGCGGUAAUACGGAGGGUGCGAGCGUUAAUCGGAAUUACUGGGCGUAAAGGGUGCGUAGGUGGUUUGGUAAGUUAUCUGUGAAAUCCCUGGGCUCAACCUGGGCAGGUCAGAUAAUACUGCUGGACUCGAGUAUGGGAGAGGGUAGUGGAAUUUCCGGUGUAGCGGUGAAAUGCGUAGAGAUCGGAAGGAACACCAGUGGCGAAGGCGGCUACCUGGCCUAAUACUGACACUGAGGCACGAAAGCGUGGGGAGCAAACAGGAUUAGAUACCCCAGU